GCAUCUUUUAAAAUUUUAACUCUUCCUGAGGUUUGAAGAACAUCUACUUGAUAAGGAAAGAGUUUUACCAGCUCUAAUUAAUUUUGAUCCAUUCAUUAUAAUGAGUUGAACACUGACUAUGUUUCAGAGAACAAAACAGACCAAAUCCUUUGCUAUGCUCAAAUAUUUCCACUGCAAGUCAGUGUUAUUAGCAUGACUUUAAAACUGACUGAAGAAAUGAAAAUGGGAGGAGACAGAUGCACCUUUUAAAAGGUGAGAGUUAUGGUUUCAUGACAAUAGAUAAGGUGAAUAUGAAGAUAAAAUACAUUAUUGAAAACCGCAAAGGAGGAAAAAAAAGAGAAAAGGAAUGAGAAGUGGAGGCAGGAAACUGCAUUAAAAUCUUAGACAAAGCAACCAAGAAAAUCCUUGCUGAAAAAAUGAAUUUUUUUAAAAAAGAUGAAUUUUGAGGAAUGACUGAAGCCAGUGAGGGAGCUAGCCAAGCAGACAUCUGGGAAAAGAUCAUUCCAGAUAAGGAAUAUCAAAUGCAAAGGCUCUGAAGCAAAAGCAUAUAUGGAAUAGCCAAGAAUCAGCAAGAUAGUCGAUGGAGAAGAGUAAUGAGUGGAAUCGUGGUUGGAGAUGAUGUCAGGUCAAGGAGGGCCUUGCAGGUCCCUGAGGGCAUAGGAGAAACCAUUGGAAAGUUUUGAGCUGAAGAGAGACACAAUGUGACUUAGGCUUUAAUAGGAUCAUGCUGGUGUCAGUGUGAGGACUGGCUGAAGAGCAGCCACAAGCAAAAACUAAGUCACUGGUUAAGAGACCAGUAGCACCCAGGCAGUCCCAGGGUGCUGGCAGUGGGGAUGCUAAGAAGUGGUUCUGCUUAUAUUGUGAAAGUGGCAUUGGCAGAGAAGAAGGGGAGAAUUAAAGAUAACUCCGAGGCUUUUGGCCUGAGCAACCAAAAGAACAGAGCCGCCAUUAAAUGAGAUCAGGAACACAAGGCAAGCGGGAAAUAGCAGAGGCUCUGUUGUGGGCAUUUACGUUUGAGAUACUUAUUAGACAUCCAAGAGGAGAGGCCCAGCAGGCCCCCUGAUACACAGAUGUGGAAUUCAGGGUAGAGAUACCACUUAGAAGUAUGUGUUUGGAAGUCAUGAGUAUACAAAUGGCAUUUAAAGCCCUGAGAUUAGUUUAGAUCCCCCGAGGAAUGAGCGCAGAAAGAUGAGAAGACUGCCAGGACUGAACCCUACGUAUUCCAGCAUUCAGUGGGGGAAAUGGAGGGGAACUGCUAAAUAGCCUGAGAAGGGAUGGCCAAGGAAGUAGGGGAACAGCCAGGCAGGUGUGGUACUCUGAAGUCAAGUGAAGACCGCCCUUCAGGAAAACAACCACAGCUGUGUCAAAUGAUGCUAACGGGCCAGCUAAGAGGAGGACUAAACAGUGACCACUGGCUCAGACUCUUAGCAAGUACAUCAGCUUCCAGGCCCAGAAGAAGUUUCUCCAGGAGAACUUUCCUUGCCAGACCCCAGUGGGAAUUAGAAGUUUCCCUUUAGUGCUCCUCUGGCACAUGGCACUGAUCUAUCUCAUGUAAAGUCGCUCUCUUCCAAAUGGUAAUUUGAGAACUUAGAAUCCUUCCACCUUGUGGCUUCACCAGUCAACAGAAGGCUU